UACGUAGGGGGCAAGCGUUGUCCGGAUUUAUUGGGCGUAAAGAGCGUGUAGGCGGCCAAGCAGGUCCGCUGUGAAAACUCGAGGCUCAACCUCGAGACGUCGGUGGAAACCGUUUGGCUAGAGUCCGGAAGAGGAGAGUGGAAUUCCCGGUGUAGCGGUGAAAUGCGCAGAUAUCGGGAAGAACACCCGUGGCGAAGGCGGCUCUCUGGGCCAUAACUGACGCUGAGAAGCGAAAGCAUGGGGAGCGAACAGG
rnacentral:rRNA from 1 species